rnacentral:rRNA from 1 species
GACGAACGCUGGCGGCGUGCCUAAUACAUGCAAGUAGAACGCACAGUUUAUACCGUAGCUUGCUACACCAUAGACUGUGAGUUGCGAACGGGUGAGUAACGCGUAGGUAACCUGCCUGGUAGCGGGGGAUAACUAUUGGAAACGAUAGCUAAUACCGCAUAAUAUUAAUUAUUGCAUGAUAAUUAAUUGAAAGGUGCAAUUGCACCACUACCAGAUGGACCUGCGUUGUAUUAGCUAGUAGGUGAGGUAACGGCUCACCUAGGCGACGAUACAUAGCCGACCUGAGAGGGUGAUCGGCCACACUGGGACUGGGACACGGCCCAGACUCCUACGGGAGGCAGCAGUAGGGAAUCUUCGGCAAUGGACGAAAGUCUGACCGAGCAACGCCGCGUGAGUGAAGAAGGUUUUCGGAUCGUAAAGCUCUGUUGUAAGAGAAGAACGGGUGUGAGAGUGGAAAGUUCACACUGUGACGGUAUCUUACCAGAAAGGGACGGCUAACCACGUG